CGGAGGAGCAUGUGGUUUAAGUUCGAUGAUACGCGAGGAACUUACCUGGGCUCGAACGUAAGAUGACUGUAGGUGAAAGCUUACAUCUCUUCGGAGCAUUUUACGAGGUGCUGCAUGGUUGUCGUCAGCUCGUGCCGUGAGGUGUCGGGUUAAGUCCCAUAACGAGCGCAACCCCUACCUUUAGUUGCCAUCAGGUUAAGCUGGGGACUCUAAAGGAACUGCCUACGCAAGUAGUGAGGAAGGCGGGGAGUGACGUCAAAUCAGCACGGCCCUUACGUCCAGGGCUACACACGUGCUACAAUGGCCGAUACAGAGGGCAGCUACCUGGUGACAGGAUGCAAAUCUCCAAAGUCGGUCUCAGUUCGGAUCGGAGUCUGCAACCCGACUCCGUGAAGUUGGAUUCGCUAGUAAUCGCGCAUCAGCCAUGGCGCGGUGAAUACGUUCCCGGGCCUU
rnacentral:rRNA from 1 species